CAGGCCUAACACAUGCAAGUCGAACGGUAACAGGGUGCUUGCACCGCUGACGAGUGGCGAACGGGUGAGUAAUGCGCCGGAACGUGCCGAGUAGUGGGGGAUAACGCAGCGAAAGUUGUGCUAAUACCGCAUACGUACUGAGGUAGAAAGUGGGGGACCUUCGGGCCUCACGCUAUUCGAGCGGCCGACGUCUGAUUAGCUAGUAGGUGAGGUAAAGGCUCACCUAGGCGACGAUCAGUAGCGGGUCUGAGAGGAUGAUCCGCCACACUGGGACUGAGACACGGCCCAGACUCCUACGGGAGGCAGCAGUGGGGAAUUUUGGACAAUGGGCGAAAGCCUGAUCCAGCCAUGCCGCGUGUCUGAAGAAGGCCUUCGGGUUGUAAAGGACUUUUGUCGGGGAGGAAAUCCCCAGCGUUAAUACCGCUNGGGGGAUGACAGUACCUGAAGAAUAAGCACCGGCUACUC
rnacentral:rRNA from 1 species